rnacentral:tRNA from 1 species
GCAGUCGUGGCCGAGUGGUUAAGGCGAUGGACUAUAAUUCCAUUGGGGUUUCCCCACACAGGUUCGAAACCUGUCAACUGCG